CCUACGGGGGGCAGCAGUGAGGAAUAUUGGUCAAUGGACGAGAGUCUGAACCAGCCAAGUAGCGUGAAGGAUGACUGCCCUAUGGGUUGUAAACUUCUUUUAUAUGGGAAUAAAAUGUUCCACGUGUGGGCUUUUGUAUGUACCAUAUGAAUAAGGAUCGGCUAACUCCGUGCCAGCAGCCGCGGUAAUACGGAGGAUCCGAGCGUUAUCCGGAUUUAUUGGGUUUAAAGGGAGCGUAGGUGGAUUGUUAAGUCAGUUGUGAAAGUUUGUGGCUCAAACGUAAAAUUGACGUUGAAACUGGCAGUCUUGAGUACAGUAGAGGUGGGCGGAAUUCGUGGUGUAGCGGUGAAAUGCGUAGAUAUCACGAAGAACUCCGAUUGCGAAGGCAGCUCACUGGACUGCAACUGACACUGAGGCUCGAAAGUGUGGGUAUCAAACAGGAUUAGAUACCCCAGUAGUC
rnacentral:rRNA from 1 species